CUACGGGUUGCUGCAGUGGGAAAUAUUGGACAAUGGGGGAAACCCUGAUCCAGCAAUGCCGCGUGUGUGAAGAAGGCCUGCGGGUUGUAAAGCACUUUCGGUUGGGAGGACUGCUUCUAGCACUAAUAUUGUUGGAAGUUGACGUUACCUUCAGAAGAAGCACCGGCUAACUCCGUGCCAGCAGCCGCGGUAAUACGGGAGGGUGCAAGCGUUAAUCGGAAUUACUGGGCGUAAAGCGCGCGUAGGCGGCUAGAUCAGUCGGGUGUGAAAGCCCCGGGCUUAACCUGGGAACUGCAUCCGAUACUGUCUAGCUUGAGUACAGGAGAGGAGAGUGGAAUUCCACAUGUAGCGGUGAAAUGCGUAGAUAUGUGGAGGAACACCAAUGGCGAAGGCAGCUCUCUGGCCUGAUACUGACGCUGAGGUGCGAAAGCGUGGGGAGCAAACAGGAUUAGAUACCCGCGUAGUC
rnacentral:rRNA from 1 species